rnacentral:ncRNA from 2 species
GACGGAGGGUGCAAGCGUUGUUCGGAUUGACUGGGCGUAAAGGGCGUGUAGGCGGUUGGUCAAGUCUGGUGUGAAAGCCCGGGGCUCAGCUCCGGAAGUGCAUCGGAAACUAGCCGACUGGAGCGCGAUAGAGGAGGGUGGAAUUCCUGGUGUAGCGGUGAAAUGCGUAGAUAUCAGGAGGAACACCGGCGGCGAAGGCGGCCCUCUGGAUCGUUGCUGACGCUGAGACGCGAAAGCGUGGGGAGCAAACAGG